rnacentral:rRNA from 1 species
AGCAGCCGCGGUAAUUCCAGCUCCAAUAGCGUAUAUUAAAGUUGUUGCAGUUAAAAAGCUCGUAGUUGAAUUUCGGGAUUGACGUGAUGGUCAUGCCUUAAGGGGUAUGAACUGUUGCUGUUGAUUUCUCACCUUCUGGAGAAACUUGAUGUCCUUUAUUGGGUGUCUUGCGGAUCCAGGACCUUUACCUUGAAAAAUUAGAGUGUUUAAAGCAGGCAUUUUUGCUCGAAUACAUUAGCAUGGAAUAAUAGAAUAGGACGGCAUGGUUCUAUUUUGUUGGUUUCUAGGAUCACCGUAAUGAUUAAUAGGGAUAGUUGGGGGCAUUAGUAUUCAAUUGUCAGAGGUGAAAUUCUUGGAUUUAUUGAAGACUAACUACUGCGAAAGCAUUUGCCAAGGAUGUUUUCAUUAAUCAAGAACGAAAGUUAGGGGAUCGAAGACGAUCAGAUACCGUCGUAGUCUUAACCAUAAACUAUGCCGACUAGGAAUCGGGCGAUGUUAUCUUUUGACUUCG